CGUAGGGUGCGAGCGUUAAUCGGAAUUACUGGGCGUAAAGCGUACGCAGGCGGUUUUGUAAGCCAGAUGUGAAAUCCCCGGGCUUAACCUGGGAAUGGCAUUUGGGACUGCAAGGCUGGAGUGCGGCAGAGGAGACUGGAAUUCCUGGUGUAGCAGUGAAAUGCGUAGAUAUCAGGAGGAAUACCGAUGGCGAAGGCAGGUCUCUGGGCUGACACUGACGCUCAUGCACGAAAGCGUGGGGAGCAAACAGGAUUAGAUACCCUGGUAGUCCACGCCCUAAACGAUGUCGACUGGUUGUUGGGGGUUUGACACUCUCAGUAACGAAGCUAACGCGUGAAGUCGACCGCCUGGGGAGUACGGCCGCAAGGUUA
rnacentral:rRNA from 1 species